UCAUGAAAGCCGUUUGUACCCGAAGUCGUCGUGCUAACCGCAAGGAGGCAGAUGCCGAAGGCAUGGAUGGUGAUUGGGAGUG
rnacentral:rRNA from 1 species